rnacentral:lncRNA from 1 species
GUUGCACAUAACUUCUGUUUAGCCCUUAGCUUUCUUUCAUAUUUUGUUCUUUUGAAGUAUAAACGUUUCCUUAGCUGAGUAGAGCCCCAGUCCAGAAGUGGCUAGGGGCUACUUACAUUUAAGGAGAUAACAUUUAAAUUUAAAAAAUGAAAUUAAGUGCAUAUGAAUUCCAGGAAAUUUGCUGUAUACCAUCCACUGACAUCUUACUAGCUGUUGGCAAGCAUUUAAUCAACGUUUAUUGGCAUUCUUUUCAGAUUUAAGUAGGACAUAAAAUUUUAUGACGUGUAAAGUAUUUUCAAUAACUGCUUCGUUAUUUUCCAUAGAUAGUGUAAUAGUAUACAAGAGGAAAUAUUGAUGAAGUACCCAAUUUGCAUUAUUUUUUGAAAGAGUAAGAUAGUUUAAAUUGUGUAUGAUGACAAAAUGCUAGUCUACUUU